CUCUGGGAUAAGCCUGGGAAACUGGGUCUAAUACCGGAUAGGACCACACACUUCAUGGUGAGUGGUGCAAAGCUUUUGCGGUGUGGGAUGAGCCCGCGGCCUAUCAGCUUGUUGGUGGGGUAAUGGCCCACCAAGGCGACGACGGGUAGCCGGCCUGAGAGGGUGACCGGCCACACUGGGACUGAGAUACGGCCCAGACUCCUACGGGAGGCAGCAGUGGGGAAUAUUGCACAAUGGGCGCAAGCCUGAUGCAGCGACGCCGCGUGAGGGAUGACGGCCUUCGGGUUGUAAACCUCUUUCAGUAGGGACGAAGCGAAAGUGACGGUACCUACAGAAGAAGGACCGGC
rnacentral:rRNA from 1 species